rnacentral:rRNA from 1 species
UACGAAGGGGGCGAGCGUUGUUCGGAAUCACUGGGCGUAAAGGGCGCGUAGGCGGCCCUCCUUGUCGCGUGUGAAAGCCCCGGGCUCAACCUGGGAACUGCGUCCGAUACUGGAAGGCUUGAAUCCGGGAGAGGGAUGCGGAAUUCCAGGUGUAGCGGUGAAAUGCGUAGAUAUCUGGAGGAAUACCGGUGGCGAAGGCGGCUUCCUGGACUGUCCCUGACGCUGAGGCGCGAAAGCGUGGGUAGCAAACAGG